rnacentral:rRNA from 1 species
GUGGGGAAUAUUGCACAAUGGGCGAAAGCCUGAUGCAGCAACGCCGCGUGAGCGAUGAAGGCCUUUGGGUCGUAAAGCUCUGUCCUUGGGGAAGAAACAAAUGACGGUACCCAAGGAGGAAGCCCCGGCUAACUACGUGCCAGCAGCCGCGGUAAUACGUAGGGGGCAAGCGUUAUCCGGAAUUAUUGGGCGUAAAGAGUACGUAGGUGGUCUUUUAAGCGCAGGGUUUAAGGCAAUGGCUUAACCAUUGUUCGCCCUGUGAACUGGAAGACUUGAGUGUAGGAGAGGAAAGUGGAAUUCCUAGUGUAGCGGUGAAAUGCGUAGAUAUUAGGAGGAACAUCAGUGGCGAAGGCGACUUUCUGGACUAUUACUGACACUGAGGUACGAAAGCGUGGGGAGCAAACAGGAUUAGAAACCCUAGUAGUCC